AUGUAUAUAUAACGUAGUGUUUGCAUUGUGCUUCCGCCAGGUUUCGCCAGGUGAGUUGUCACUCACACCUUUAUUCUGCACAACCUAGAAUUAUUGUGUCACGUGAUCCCUGUCCACACAUCAGCCUGAGGCUGUGGUGGCACGGUGAGCGAAGGCCUGCGAGUUUGUUCUGAACGACAUCCCAGGACUAUCUUUUCUUUUCGUCAGGGAAAUGUAGUGUACUCAAACGAACAAUCAAAUCUAAGGGGGAAAGGAUGGAAUUGAUCCAACAGUUGCUGAUUGUCACUCUUCACUUGAUAAAAUUUUCUCUUGCGCAUCUCCAGGACAGUACUAACAGGUCAACGGAGGAGGCGCUGGGGCCUACAGGGUUGUCCCUGCAGCCCGGACCCGGCGUGUGUGUCUCUGGUCGACACACAUCCUGCUGCCUGGGAUGGAGGAAUGUUAACGGUGCCUGUCAGCCUGUGUGCAGAAAGCCCUGCAUCCAUGGCACGUGCACACGCCCGGACACGUGCACAUGUUCCAGCGGCUAUGGGGGAGCCCAGUGUGAUCAAGGUAGAGUUGAUAUCCAAGAUACUCUUUCUAGUGUCUCUGGCUGUGACACAAAAUAGAUGAUCAAUGAGGGACAACUGUUGUUGUUCACAACAACUGUAACAUAUACAUUUAAGUUAUGUGUUUCUACUGCGCGUAUUCUGUGCGUAGACAUAUGCCAAUAGUAGUUGUAUGAGAAGUACAUUCUAUGUUAUCUUUCUUAUUGAUGACAUGUCAGGUGACCCCUCUGGUGUCUGUGUCCCAUCAGAUGUGAACGAGUGUGGUUUCCCUGAGCGUUUGUGUUCCCAUCGCUGCAUGAACACACAGGGGAGCUACCGCUGUUACUGUGAACCCGGCUCCACGCUCAGACCAGACGGACACACCUGCACAGAGGGGCCCGGAUGUCCAUCCUUGCGCUGCCAGUUUGGCUGUCAAGGGGGGGCGGGGGGGUUGAUGAGCUGCAUGUGCCCCCCGGGUCUCCGUCUGGCCGCCAACAACAAGACCUGUGAAGGUAGGGGGACAUAUCGGUUAUCAUCGACUCAUCAAUUAGCCGGUGAAUUGUCCUCAAUAAUAAUUGCAAACUGGUGAUUGCUUACCGAUCGACACAAAGUGAUGCCACU
rnacentral:lncRNA from 1 species